GACGAACGCUGGCGGCGUGCUUAACACAUGCAAGUCGAACGAAGAGCGAUGGAAGCUUGCUUCUAUCACUCUUAGUGGCGAACGGGUGAGUAACGCGUAAUCAACCUGCCCUUCAGAGGGGGACAACAGUUGGAAACGACUGCUAAUACCGCAUACGAUCUAACCUCGGCAUCGAGGAUAGAUGAAAGGUGGCCUCUACAUGUAAGCUAUCACUGAAGGAGGGGAGUGCGUCUGAUUAGCUAGUUGGAGGGGUAACGGCCCACCAAGGCGAUGAUCAGUAGCCGGUCUGAGAGGAUGAACGGCCACAUUGGGACUGAGACACGGCCCAGACUCCUACGGGAGGCAGCAGUGGGGAAUCUUCCGCAAUGGACGAAAGUCUGACGGAGCAACGCCGCGUGAGUGAUGACGGCCUUCGGGUUGUAAAGCUCUGUUAAUCGGGACGAAAGGCCUUCUUGCGAAUAGUUAGAAGGAUUGACGGUACCGGAAUAGAAAGCCACGGCUAACUACGUG
rnacentral:rRNA from 1 species